rnacentral:lncRNA from 1 species
AGUCACACUUUGCCAGUCAAACGGAGAGGCAGCAGUAGUAAGACCAGACCAAAUCAAACCAAACCAAGCAAACCACGGGGAAUGGAGGAGACUCAGACUACAAUGCAGCACGUCCGGAAAAAUGUUUAGACACAGGAAGCUAUUCUGGAGAAACUGCUUACAUUAAGAUUCUUUUGACUGUAAAGAAACGAAACCUUGUUUGAACUAGCUUCCGCCAGAAGGAGACUGAAUGAAAGUCAUAGGGCAAAGAUGAAAGGUAGAGUAAGCCUCACAGGGUGGGGCUGGGAGCUAGAAGGCACAGCUGGGCUACUCUAUCUUUUCAUAUCAUCGUGGCCUUCCCAUCU